GGAGGGUGCGAGCGUUAAUCGGAAUUACUGGGCGUAAAGCGCACGCAGGCGGUUUGUUAAGCUAGAUGUGAAAGCCCCGGGCUCAACCUGGGAUGGUCAUUUAGAACUGGCAGACUAGAGUCUUGGAGAGGGGAGUGGAAUUCCAGGUGUAGCGGUGAAAUGCGUAGAUAUCUGGAGGAACAUCAGUGGCGAAGGCGACUCCCUGGCCAAAGACUGACGCUCAUGUGCGAAAGUGUGGGUAGCGAACAGGAUUAGAUACCCUGGUAGUCCACACCGUAAACGCUGUCUACUAGCUGUGUGUGCCUUUAAGGCGUGCGUAGCGAAGCUAACGCGCUAAGUAGACCGCCUGGGGAGUACGGCCGCAAGGUUAAAACUCAAAUGAAUUGACGGGGGCCCGCACAAGCGGUGGAGCAUGUGGUUUAAUUCGAUGCAACGCGAAGAACCUUACCUACACUUGACAUGCUGAGAACUUUCCAGAGAUGGAUUGGUGCCUUCGGGAACUCAGACACAGGUGCUGCAUGGCUGUCGUCAGCUCGUGUCGUGAGAUGUUGGG
rnacentral:rRNA from 1 species